rnacentral:rRNA from 1 species
AUCUAUGGCCAUACCAGUCUGAAAAUGCCUGAUCUCGUCAGAUUUCAGAAGCUAUCCAGACUCAGGCCUGGUUAGUACUUGUAUGGGAGACCAACUAGGAACCUCCAUUUCAUUCAGC